UACGGGGGGGGCAAGCGUUGUUCGGAAUUACUGGGCGUAAAGGGUUCGUAGGUGGCUUGUUAAGUCAGACGUGAAAUCCCUCAGCUUAACUGGGGAACUGCGUCUGAUACUGGAUGGCUUGGAUUCGGGAGAGGAAUGCGGAAUUCCAGGUGUAGCGGUGAAAUGCGUAGAUAUCUGGAGGAACACCGGUGGCGAAGGCGGCAUUCUGGACCGAUAUUGACGCUGAGGAGCGAAAGCCAGGGGAGCAAACGGG
rnacentral:rRNA from 1 species